rnacentral:ncRNA from 1 species
GGAGGGAUUUUAUAAUGGUUUUGUUAUGGUUAAGGUGUUGUUAUUUAUUUUUAAUUCAAUGGUGGACAAUUUAUUAUCCUGUUUUUUUUCAUUUGUAGUAUUAUUGUACCAGAAUAAUCGGAUAGACUUUAUAAAUUAGUACUUUGGUUGUUGUGAACAAUGAUUUUUUUGUUAAGAAAGAAGAAGAAAAAGAGUUUGUUUAUGUCUUUUUUGUGAAAUAUUGAGGUUUUUGUGUUUUUGGUUUUUGUUCUAAGUGGGUUUGAUGAACUGGAGUAGUACCCAGGUAAUUCUUUUUUAGUAGAGCAGGAGUAUAAUGAUGUUGAAACUGAAAUUACUUUGGGAGGUUUUAAAUUUAUUUUUGGAGGUUGACGAGUAAUUGAGAGCCCUUAUUUUUAUCCAGUGUUAUUGUGGUAUGUAUGAUCGUUUGUCUAGUUGUUGAGCAUUUUAGGUUAUAAAUUGUUUUUUGUGAUGAUAGAUAAAUAUAUACUAUAUAUACUGGUUUUUAGUUGACCUACAUUAUUUUAUGGUGUGGAUUCUUGUGGUAGAUCAUGAGAUGAGAAUGGAAAAUACAGUAAGUUGGUUUUUAUGUCUGGCUGAAGAUUAAUUUUAGAACGGCACAAAUCAUCCAUCAAUUGCUUAAAGAGUAAUAAGUUGUAGUAGAGUUAAGGUAGGGGAACCUGUUCUUAGUAAUUUAUAAGGAGGAAGAAAGGAGAA